UACAGAGGUCUCAAGCGUUGUUCGGAUUCAUUGGGCGUAAAGGGUGCGUAGGCGGCGCGGUAAGUCGGGUGUGAAAUCUCGGAGCUUAACUCCGAAACUGCAUUCGAUACUGCCGUGCUUGAGGACUGGAGAGGAGACUGGAAUUCCCGGUGUAGUGGUGGAAUGCGUAGAUAUCGGGAGGAACACCAGUGGCGAAGGCGGCUUCCUGGACCGGUUCUGACACUGAGGAGCGAAAGCGUGGGGAGCGAUCCGG
rnacentral:rRNA from 1 species